rnacentral:rRNA from 1 species
GACGAACGCUGGCGGCGUGCUUAACACAUGCAAGUCGAACGGAAAGGCCCUGCUUUUGUGGGGUGCUCGAGUGGCGAACGGGUGAGUAACACGUGAGUAACCUGCCCUUGACUUUGGGAUAACUUCAGGAGACUGGGGCUAAUACCGGAUAGGAGCUCCUGCUGCAUGGUGGGGGUUGGAAAGUUUCGGCGGUUGGGGAUGGACUCGCGGCUUAUCAGCUUGUUGGUGGGGUAGUGGCUUACCAAGGCUUUGACGGGUAGCCGGCCUGAGAGGGUGACCGGCCACAUUGGGACUGAGAUACGGCCCAGACUCCUACGGGAGGCAGCAGUGGGGAAUAUUGCACAAUGGGCGGAAGCCUGAUGCAGCAACGCCGCGUGCGGGAUGACGGCCUUCGGGUUGUAAACCGCUUUCGCCUGUGACGAAGCGUGAGUGACGGUAAAGGGUAAAGAAGCACCGGCUAACUACGUG